GGUGAAGGGAACAAGGAACUGAGGUCAAGGAAAUGUAAAUGGGGUGAAGGGAACAAGGAACUGAGGUCAAGGAAAUGUAAAUGGGUGAAGGGAACAAGGAGCUGAGGCCAAGCUCUCGGAGGAGUUAUCAGGAGGGAAAUUCAGCUCGUUCAACCUUGUGGCUGGAGUUGCAGUAGCGAAUGUGUCUGUGAAAGAGAAGUCCAGGCCAACCACUCAUGAAACGGAGGGACUGAGCGGCAGGGAUGCAGUGGUGAGAAGGAGGUGGACUGAGCCAUGCACCAUGUUGCCAGAGGAGCAGAGUGUUCCCAGGAGGGCAGAGAAGACAUGUCUAGAGAUGACACUACCGAAUAAAGUCAACAACUCCACGUUUUCUUCCUGAAUUGAGAACCUUCCAUUUCCCCCUGGUUGAAAUGCAUUAGUUGCCAUGGAAACUGCGAUCCCCCCGGUGUGGAUGGAGCCGAAUGACACCUACAAUUGCAGAGCACGGUUGGCGUCGCCAGGGCUGGGAAAUGGGCAUCGUGGCUGGAGAGUGCACUGAAGGGCACAGAUGAGAAUAAUGACAGCACACAGCACAACCGUCAGGGGCGGAUGCAGCACCCCUGGGUCAGAAGUCGUGGAAGAAACCAUGGAUGUCUGUGUGUGUGCUGGGGGUUGUCUCAAUAAUGUCCAUUUCACCGGCCUCAAUGUAGAGAUUAAACCCGCUUACAGGGAAGACCUAGCAGAAUCAUUGUUGACUGAAUGACUGAGCCCAUAAGAGGAUGUGCUCACCAUGAAGCGAGGAAGCCACAUGCGAAGCACAUUGAGCUGCUGCUUCUGCAGCUGGGAGGCCUGGCGCAGGGUCUUGCCAUAGCCAAGGGCUCCGGGCGGAGGACGUGGAGAGACGUGCACGCUCAGCUCCCUGUGCAGUUCGUGGUUCACGAGACACCCAAAACGCAACGGUCUCCUGUCUAAAUGGAAUUAACUCAGUCUCACUCACAAACAUCAGGGAGGGACUCACCGCACAAGCAAAUCCAGACUAUCUGAGAACUGGCGACUAUCUGAGACUAUCUGAGACUCACAAGCAAAUCACAAGCAGAUAGUCUGGAUUUGCUCACAAGCAAAUCCAGACUAUCUGAGACUAUCUGAGAGUGUCGGAAGAAAGCUGCAUGUGAUGGGCCUCUCUGGAAAUUAUCUGAGGUUUCCUUUAAAACACAGUCCUUGAGGUCGACUGAAGGCAAGGAGGCUGCGCAACCAGCAGAUGUGAGGAAUGAAGCCGCCGAGGAAACUGAUCUCAGACCUGAGGCAGUUUCUAAGAUGGUGUGGGGAGGCGGGGAGGGGAAUGCUGAAUAAUAAGAUUACUCAGAGCUGCUAACGAUCCUGAUUCAGUAAUUUUCUGCUUAAAAAGGCACUUCGACCUUUUCCAAACCCAGAUGUAUGCAUCUUAAUGGAAGGUCGUUCCCAUGCACAGCGAAUGCAGCCUAGAUUUAUAAGAGAAACUCUGAUAGAUUCCUCAGCCAAGUGAGAGGGAUGACACUGCUCCUAUUUAUUAGGUAAAUGAUCUAUUUUAUAUGUACAUGCACAUAAUGCAUAAAUUACGCAAAACAGUCUCAGCAUGGUUAAUGAACAUGCCUGAAGGCUAAUAAAAAAAGUGCUUAUCUAGUUCUUUUAUUUUUUUCUCCUUUAUGCAUAACAGCAUUUUACUUAAUAGCAUAAAUCAAACUGAAAGACCAUCUGUAUUAAAACUUAAAUAACUUUUCGGGCUGUCUAUAGGCAUAAAAUGAAGUGCCUAAGGUAGAAACAGCGUUCACAUUGCCCUGAGAUGAAAGGCUUACCUGCAAUCUGUA